GAUGAACGCUGGCGGCGUGCUUAACACAUGCAAGUCGAACGGGAAACCUUUUAUUGAAGCUUCGGCAGAUUUAGCUGGUUUCUAGUGGCGGACGGGUGAGUAACGCGUGGGUAACCUGCCUUAUACAGGGGGAUAACAACCAGAAAUGGUUGCUAAUACCGCAUAAGCGCACAGGACCGCAUGGUCCGGUGUGAAAAACUCCGGUGGGAUAAGAUGGACCCGCGUUGGAUUAGCUAGUUGGCAGGGUAACGGCCUACCAAGGCGACGAUCCAUAGCCGGCCUGAGAGGGUGAACGGCCACAUUGGGACUGAGACACGGCCCAGACUCCUACGGGAGGCAGCAGUGGGGAAUAUUGCACAAUGGGGGAAACCCUGAUGCAGCGACGCCGCGUGAAGGAAGAAGUAUCUCGGUAUGUAAACUUCUAUCAGCAGGGAAGAUAGUGACGGUACCUGACUAAGAAGCCCCGGCUAACUACGUG
rnacentral:rRNA from 1 species